UGAACUCAUAGAGAUCUGCCUGUCUUCCUGU
rnacentral:piRNA from 1 species